GCAUUUUCGAGCCAAAAGUGCGAAGCGCCUACGCGGGGAAAUCAGUCCACUGGACUGAUUUAUGAUUCCGCUUCGAUGCGUCGGAUAAUGCGUAAAAACAAAGAGAUAGAGCGGUUCCAACGAUUCCGUUUUAACCGAAACUGCUCCAGACAAAAUAACCGAUGCUGGCUACCCAAUAAAUUAAUGUCAGUAUUAUAUGCAGAA
rnacentral:misc_RNA from 1 species